rnacentral:rRNA from 1 species
UACGGAGGGUCCAAGCGUUAUCCGGAAUCAUUGGGCUUAAAGGGUUCGUAGGCGGUUUUGCAAGUCAGUGGUGAAAGCCCAUCGCUCAACGGUGGAACGGCCAUUGAUACUGCAAGACUUGAAUUAUUGGGAAGUAACUAGAAUAUGUAGUGUAGCGGUGAAAUGCUUAGAGAUUACAUGGAAUACCAAUUGCGAAGGCAGGUUACUGCCAAUAUAUUGACGCUGAUGGACGAAAGCGUGGGGAGCGAACAGG